rnacentral:lncRNA from 1 species
GGGAACUCCUAUAUAAGAUGCGUUUGAACAGGAACACACACAAAGCAAGGUGAGGCAUUGAUCCACUGACCAGGAUGCUGGGACCAGAGGGUUCCAGGAGCCCAACCCUGUAUCUCCCCUGGGAGCAGUGGCUUGGAAUUUGUGAUUCAGUGUUUGCAGUCAUCUUCUAGGACGUAACUACGGUGACUCCAGAGAGUUGGACUGAGUGUCGUUUGCACGUGGAUGUCACCAGAGGAGAAAUUUAAGGAACAAUGUCGGGGUCAUGUCUAAGUAGGCAGAUGUUUCGUUCACUCAGAUUGUGAAGUAUUCCGCGUGUUACAUGAGAGUCUUAAAGCGGUUCCCUAAUGCGAGCGGCAUCCCUGAGCCCAUCACUGGAGCUCACCCAGAGGAGAAGUGUUUUCACGAUGGCAAAUGCUUUUGCUCUUUAAACGUAACUGGGAACCUACGUCUCGCUGAGUACUUAAAGCCUGAGACUCGGGGGACCAGCAUCUGAGUUACGCUUUUAUUAUUUAACUAAAGCGUCUGUUGCCCCAAGAAUAAAAGGCUUCAGAAAAGGAGCCUGGAGUUUGGAAGCGGCCCUGACCGCCCGAUUGACAUUCAGAACCAUCUUUUAGCCUCUGAUUUCACAUGGGUUCCGCUAUUUUUUUUUUUUUUUAAAUAGCCGUUAGUCCCACAAUCACUCAUCCCCACUAAAUACAGUCCAUAAAAAGUAAUUGCCAUGGUUUUGAACAAUUUAUAUUCCGAGGAGCGGAGUGUAUUUUAAGAUGUGACUGGAUCCUUCUAGAAUCCCCACCGGAGGGCUUGGCAUUUCAGUGGACGGACACACACACGCUUCACCCAGAGUGUGAUGUGGGCGUGCGUAAGUCCUUCCUCGCUUCUUCUGGGACAGAUCUCUGGUCCAGGAAAGCCUUUCCUCGCCCCACCGACUCCUCUUUGUAGAAUGGUUUAUAAGCUCAAAUCAGAUUCCAAGUCUGAUUCCCCCCCCCAAUAAAUGUUAAAGCCAGUGGGUUUCCUUUUCUUCCCAUAUAUGCUGUUUUUAUUCAUAUUUAUUGGAUCGGUAGAAACUUCUGAGCUCCUGCUUUGUGCCUGGGCCUGUCCUGGGUGCUGGAGGUAUAAAGCCAGCCAGCUCCCAAGCCGGGGGUCAAGGAGCCCACCGUAGGCAGGGAGAAACAUCGUAUCACAGUUUGUGUUUUUGUUUUGUUUUGUUUUGUUUUGCUUUUUAGGGAGGAUCCCAGGCAGGGGCCAAUCAGAGCUACAGCUGCCGGACUGCACCACAGCUGCAGCAACGCCAGAUCUGAGCCAUGUCUGCAAGCUACACCAUGGCUCCCAGCAACGCCGGAUCCUUAACCCACUGAGUGAGGCCAGGGAUUGAACCUGCAACCUCAUAGUUCCUAGUCGGAUUCAUUUCUGCUGUGUCACGACGGGAACUCCUGUGUUGGGUUCUUAACCUGCUGAGCCACAAUGGGAACUCCACUGGAUCUGUUUUGGGGUUUAGGCAAGAAUAGGGGAGCGAUGAGAGAGGAGGCUGGAAAGGGACUUAGGGCUUGGGUUUCCGAGACUUUCUGUGCCACACUUAGGGUUUGGAGCUUAUCUAGAAGGUGGAGGAAUUGAAGGGGACAUGUGAACAACCUUUUUGAGUGUUUGAUAGCCCACUUUGGGGUGAAAGGUGGGAAGCUGGAGACAGGGGUCAGGCAGCCCAGUUCAGUUGCUUUUGGAUUGGUCGGUGGGACAGAAUGGGGAGAGGUAGGCGACCCAGCAGGCAGGGCGAUGGGGAGACGGGGACGGACAGAGGCUCUGCAGUGGCUCCGUCUAAUUCUCUGGGAUCAUUUCGGAUUUCAGAGCCUCAGUCCAGGACAGCAGAGGUUUCAUGCUUGGGCACUUGGGUAAAAGAUGGUGCUUUCUGCUGAGGACACUCGGGAGCAGGUUUGUGGGAGAAAACAGAAUUGCCUGAACCGUGAGACCCUAGAAUCAGCGUCACGGCAUAAAUCCAGCUCCGGGAUUGUAUCCUGGAAACAAGGUUGUUGUUGUUGUUUUGUCCCCCAGUCUUGUUUGCAUGUUUUUGCCUGCAUUAUCUACCCGAGGAAUUCAUGUUGAUCUGUUUGUUAGCAGCAAGAGGCCAUGGAGCAAAAUGUGUGAAAUUACCCGGGAGGAAAGAAAAAAAAAAUCUCUAACGGUGUGGUCUGAACACCAGCGUCGGCACAUGAAACCAGGGGCUGUGGGCUGGUUUUUCGCAGGUGACUUAGAACAAGCUGUCACCUCCUGGCCAUCCUGUGUUCGCCUCUGCCCUGUGGAAUUGCACAGGGGCUCAGAACCCCGGUUCUGGUUUCAGGCAGGCUUAGUUCACCUCUCCCUUGGGCGAGUCCCCGCUCUGUGCCCGAACAUCUUUCUUGCAUAGUGGUGAUAAUAGCACCCACCUUAUUUGUGCCUGUUAAAGAAGAUAAUUGAUGGUGUUUCUUAGCCCAGUUCAUGGCACAGUGAGCACUGAGAAGAAGUGUAUCUUGAAGCAAUUACAAGAACAGAUCUUAUAGAAUGAUGAUAAAUUAAUGACCAAACAUCAACCUGGAUUCAGGUUUCUAAGAAAUUUAGCCUUCAUUUAAGCAAUGAUGCACCAUAGAAUUCCUGUAGAAAACCUUCCUGUUAGUGCAUUUAAAAAUACUCAAUUUGUAGGAGUUCCCACUGUGGCAGGAUUAGUGUGGUGUCUUGGGAGCACUGGGACACAGGUUUGAUCCCUGGCCUGGCACAGUGGGUUAAGGAUCCAGCGUUGCCUUAGUUGCUUAGGUCACAACUGUGGCUUGGAUCUAAUCUCUGGCCCAGGAACCCCAUAUGCUGCAGGACAGCCACACAGAACAGAACAAAACCUCAAUUUGUAAAAAUUCCACAUACUUUAAAAUCAUAGUCUGUUAGUAAUAAUAAUAAACUGUAUUAUAUAAUGCAUUGAACUUUUUUUUUUUUUUUUUUUUGGCCAUGCCCGUGGCGUGUGGAAGUUCCUGAGCCAGGGAUCAAACCCUCAUCACAGAAGUGAUCCAAGCAACACCAGUGACAACAUCAGAUCCUUAACACACUGAGCCACCAAGGGAACUCCAUUGUCCAUUGAGCUUUUUUUCCCCUCUAUAUCAUCUCAACUAGUCCCUCCUGACUUCACUGUGACAGCACUGAGGCCAGGGAGCUCCAGGACGUCGCUCAAGGGACAGCACAGGGGCUGCUGGAAACUUCUGUUGCUCUUGAAAGAACAGCAUCAAAGAGAAAAAAAAAAAA